AUUGAACGCUGGCGGCAGGCCUAACACAUGCAAGUCGAGCGGAUGAAGGGAGCUUGCUCCUGGAUUCAGCGGCGGACGGGUGAGUAAUGCCUAGGAAUCUGCCUGGUCGUGGGGGAUAACGUCCGAAAACGGGCGCUAAUACCGCAUACGUCCUGAGGGAGAAAGUGGGGGAUCUUCGGACCUCACGCUAUCAGAUGAGCCUAGGUCGGAUUAGCUAGUUGGUGGGGUAAAGGCCUACCAAGGCGACGAUCCGUAACUGGUCUGAGAGGAUGAUCAGUCACACUGGAACUGAGACACGGUCCAGACUCCGAGGGGAAGCAGCAGUGGGGAAUAUUGCACGAGGGGGGAGAGGCUGAUCCAGCCAUGCCGCGGGUGUGAAGAAGGUCCUCGGAUUGUAGAGCACUGUAAGUUGGGGGGAAGGGAAGUAAGUUUAUACCUGGCUGUAUUGACGGUACCAACAGAAUAAGCACCGGCUAACUUCGUG
rnacentral:rRNA from 1 species